UGCUGGUCAGGGCUGGAGGGGUGUGGAGAUAGAUUUUUUUUUUUUUCUUCUCUGUCGCGAGUUAGAAAUGUUGGCAGUGCUUUGCUCUCUGAUUAGUGAUCCAAGCUGGUGGGCUGAGGUGUUUUGGUAUUCUUGCUUAAAAUACCUCUUUUAUUAGGGGGGAAAAAGUGUAGAGUGAGAAACAUCAGAGUGGUAGAUGAGAGGCAGAAGACCAGGCCCUUCUGUAUUUUGCAUUUCCCAGCUCUUCACAAAGCAGCGGCGCAGCCGCCUCAGGAAAUCCCAAAAUGCAUCAGGGAGGUUGUAAAUCUGCCUCAGCUGGGCAUUUUUUGGUAAUCUUCUGAUCUAAAUGUUAUUUUCACUGGCCAAUAAUAAAGGACUGCUGAAAGAGCAGCACCUUGCCCUGUAGCACCCCGAAGGCAGGGCCACAACUUCAGAAAAGUACAUGAGGGCAGAAACCUCCUCUCCCUGGAAAGGGUUUCCCUCUCUUUGGGACAGCCCACAGACAGGUCAAGGAGGGAUACAAACGCAUCUCUGCUGUGGGGCUGCAGGUAGGAAGAGGGAGUUUGGCUCACAUCUUCAGGCCAUGGCUCAAAAGAUUCCAAGCAGAAGGAGCCUGGACGUGUAAAUUCCUCAUGCCUUGGUGGGAUG